UAAUUUUCUUGUUUUGCUAUUUAUUUAUGUAAGUGAUUCUCUUAUUAUAAUUAAGGUUGGCAGCUUAUAAAUACAAGCAACCCCCUUAUUGUAGUCAUGUUUAAUUUUGAAUAAGAAUUUAUUUCA